UAUGUCUUACAGAAAUAAGAAUAUUUCACAGUGUUACCGCUUAUAUAUUAAGAUGGAGCUAACAAACGGCAAUGUUUUCGGAAUAUCUGAUGAUGACAUGAUCACGUAUCUUUCGCAUACUGAUACACAUCUUUAUCAACCGCUAAAACGUCCUGUCGAUCAAGGACUGAGAAGAAGAGAGCCACAUGGGUUAGAGUGCGCUAAUGGUUCUGAUGUUGAAAUGAUUCAGAAGUCCUAUCCGACGUACUCGGAGUCACCGAAAUCGCAAA